AAUACUGAAGUCCAGUAUUUCUUAUUCAGUAGCAGAUCACUAACAGAUAUGCCUGGGAGAGAUUCAGGCUUCGUUCCUGAUCUAAAACUUAAAGCUGGGAAAAGAUAGUCUCUAAAGAGAGCAAAAAUGUGUGAAGGGAACUUCAGAAGCCGUCACUCUGGGCACAUCCUAACUUCAAUAUCAACACACCUGGUGAGUUUAAAGGAACAUAAUGCUAUUCAUCACAAUGAUGGGAACAGUUUUUGAAAAGAGUGAUGAAUUGGAUGAUAUCAACUAAUUAUAUUCCAGAAAAUGUCUGUUAACUCAGACAAGAUCAAUUCAAAGAAACCCUAGGAAAAUAGAGUGGGGUAAACAACAAAAUACUGUUUACUUCAUUGGAAACUUCAGAGUACAUGCCACAAACCAAAAGCUAAUUUUGCCUUAACUAAAUGAGGAUAUGCCACAAUUUUCUCUGGUGUAUUAUAUACAGCAUAACUAGCUCUAUUAUUAUUUUUAAUAUUUUCUUCAUUUUUAUAUCAAUAAAAUUUUAAGAACUUCUGUUAGAAUUUUUCCUUUUGUUUUUACAUUUCCCCUCCCUCAACUCUUUGGUCUACUUCUCCUUUAUCUCCACAGAUGGAAGGUAGAUGAACUACAGUGAAGAGGAGAAUGGAUAAGUUCUUCAAAGGAGGGACUUAUGUCUUAAAUUUCUUUGUAAACUCCAUUGCUUCGUACCAUGCCUGACAGAUUUAGGUACUCAGAGAGUGUUGGUUAAAGGUUGAAUGAAUGGGCUGAGCAAUGCAUAAGUGGGUAAAUAUAUUUAUUUUAUCCUUCUACUAUAACUUAAGGGAAAAAACAUGUUGCCUGAAUGUUUAUUACAACUCUUCUGUUAACCUUGUAGAGGAUGGAUCAACUGGACAGUGUAGAGAUGGAAGAAAAGGAAUGUCAUUUGCUAUACUCAGAACAUGUCCUGUGCUGGUGUUUUCACAGGAUGGUAACAGCACUUAACGCUAAGCCUGCAAGCCAGUUGAUGUCAGGACAGAGUCCUGAAUACUCACCUCAGUGAGGUAAGGAGCACACAGAGGGUCACACACACACACAGUUCUGGAGGAAGGAACACCCAGGGACAGGUCAGGGUAGAGAACAGUGGAACUGGACGGGAUUAGUCCAUCCUCCUCAGUAGUAUGAGCUGAUCCUACGGGUGGGGCUGGCAUUUCUCAGAUGCUCACCGUAAAGUGAAUGUGCUCUCACAACAGUGCUCCUGUGCUGCUCAGCCAUGGAUGACAGGUGAAGGGAACACUUCCCGGAACGAACAGCUUUUCCUCAGCUAACGUUCACCUGGGUGGUGGCACAGGCCAGGUUGGGGAGCAGAGGUGGGAGGAAAAUCAUUCCAGACUCUAACUGGGCCACUGACUCAGAAGGCUGCACGCCAAGUUGCUAAUUGUCAGCGUCCAGCCACCCUUCCUGACAGAGCACGCACAAGGCAAACAUUGUUCUCAGUCAGACCUCGCACCACAAGAAAAAANNNNNNNNNNNNNNNCAGGCCCAGAGUCUCUCGCUCGUCUGAGAUGCUGCCCUGCGGCAUUUCCAUCCUCUCUGGGUCUGGGGACCUUCAUAUCCCUCUCGGUCCUAUCAAGAAAAAAGUCCCAGCACAAUAUUAACCGCACAGUUUCUUGGCUGUGAGUGAGGAGAUGUCCCUCUUAUCUACCUUCCUGAACUGAGAGAAAACAUUUCAGAAAGUUUUCUAAAUGAAAACCUAAGGGAAACAGAAGGAAACUUGAAUUUUUCAUGAUUUAUUCUUCUCGAAUUUUGAUGUUUCACCGGAAGCACACAUUCCUUUGUUACAAGAGCCAAAAAAAAGAAGGUCUAGAAGGAGUGAAUUCACUUCACUUGCUUCACAUCAAGUCAUUAUUACAAAUGAGUUUAAAGAUAGUAAAUAUAAUGCGUGAGUUUUAUUGAGUGCUGAGGGAAGUGGUACAAUUUAAUUGAGGAUUUCCUGUGCUGUCUGGAGCUGAGAAUAAGGGAUUGUAUUGUGGCCUCCCUGUCGUUUUCCCUUUCCCCAGAGCCUAAUAUAUCAAUCACAUAAAAUUAGUGUAAUUAGGAGGUCGACUAAAGACAGAGAGGCUCUUCCUGUAAAUUUUUUCGAAUGAAAACCCAGGCACCAUUGUAAAACAAACACAUUAAUCUCUUCACUGAAAUUAAACGAAUAGGAUCGUGGUGACUUUAAGGCACUCANNNNNNNNNNNNNNNNNNNNNNNNNNNNNNNNNNNNNNNNNNNNNNNNNNNNNNNNNNNNNNNNNNNNNNNNNNNNNNNNUUCCUUCCAAGCCUAAGUGUGUGAC
ensembl:lncRNA